ensembl:lncRNA
UUUUGCAUGCUGAAUGAGUAUUUUAUUUAUAACCAGUUUAUAAAAAUAAAAUACAAAAUAAUUUGAAAACAAAACUUAAAACAUUGUACAAAGCCUUGAUAUGGUACAAAUGAGAAAAUAAAUAAUUACACCUUUAUGUACAAAUGACCAUGACAAGCGCAUCAACUCUUUCCUGUUCUUGGGUGCCUGAGCAAACUUAAAAGAAAAAGAAUGGCUUAGAAGAUUUCCUAGGAGGGGAAAGAGAAUGGCAAUUAUUGAGCAAGAGAAUUUUGAAGGACUCAACAUUUGUCUUACUCAGUGGUAACGAACAACCUCAGAACUGCUAUGCACUUAAUUUAAUCAUGAUGCAGAUCAAGUAUUCAAUUCCUUAUGGAGUGACAACAUUGUAUUUUUAGCUAAUACACCAAUUUCAUUCUUUGUGGUAUUGCCUAGAGAUUUUCAAUUAGCAGCCAUUGGUUUGUAGCUUCAAAAAGUACUUGUCUGAAGGCAUUGCUGGUGAUUUCCUUAUUUUAUCAGUUUGGAUAUUCAUAUGAAAGCAUUUGAAAAUUGACACCUGUUCUCUCUCUCUCUCUAAUACACAUUGCAACUCAUCUCUGGGUUGAUUCUACAGAAAAUCAGUUAGAAGUUCAAGAAUAAUUUCAAGUGUUGCAUUCCAACCUUAAAAAGCAGAAGAUGCAGAGAAGGAUGCUGGGCAAUCAUUCCAGAUGUCCAGACAUACUGGAGAGAAGGAGAAGAUGCAAAGUGGACCAAAAUCCCUUACUGCACCUCGUGUCAAACCUUUAUGACCUUGCCUGCCACAAUGCAGAUAAGGACUUGAAAGAAUCUGAAGCCUUGCAGACCAAGCUGGUCAACAUUAUGUACCUUUGGGAGCAAGCUGGCCUGCUGCUACUAGAGCUCCCUUAUGUAAAAGUUAGGUCACAGAUCAAGUGAUCUCAAAAUGAAACAAACACCUGUAACCAAGUAAUACUAGCUGAAUUCCCACAGCCAGUUGGGGACCAUCAGAAUCCUGUAUGAGUAGCCCACCUGCAGUAUUGUUUUCAGAAGAAACAGUGGACUCAGUAGUCUUGGCCUAAGCUGACUAACAGCAGUAAUUCUUACAGAAAAUAUGAGAUCAAAAAGCAAGUCAUGUCACAGUCUUUACUAAAAAUAGGCAUUUUCCAAUUUAAAAUACAGUAACCGCAAAUGCAAGAUUUAUAGAGUGAAUUUAUUCCUUCAGUCUCUAAGCAGGAAAAAAAAAAAAGCUAAACAAAACUAGGCUCUAUUUAAUGAAAGUUUCACUUGCACAAGAACAGAAAGGAUCCUAGUUGUUUACAUGGACUGGGGAGAAACAGGAGCAAAACACAGGCUAACAUUUGCCCUACAAAAAAAGGCACUGCUCAGCACUUAGAGCAGAAACUUCAAAUCCACAUUCAUUAUUUGUACGUACAAUUUUGUGCGUUUACAUUUUGCACUGCAUUAGUGGGAAUCCUGACAUACUUGAAACAAAACCAGAGAGAAUUUCACCCAGGAUUUUGGCACCUAAAUUAACCAGUCAGCUGGAACUCUCCUGUGGUAAGGAAGGAGCAGGAUACACAGGUCUUGUUGCAUAGCACUGCAACUAAAUUCCUGGUCUCUGAAAGACAAUUUCUCUAUCACAACACUAGAGAAAACCAGCCAGACCCUGGAAGCACCCCCUGCAGCCCAGGUUCAGCUUCCCUGCUGGGCUCUGUAGGUCACAAUUUUCUCUGUGCUAAAUUUGUUGUGUCAACCACAUGGUUGUUUCUGUUGAAGAAAUCUCCCAAAAGGAAAAUACAUAACUCCUGGAGAUAGCCCACAUAAAUGCCAGCCAUUGUAAAAAGUUAGAAAAGCAAUGUCUAUUAAUCCCACAAAAGUAUAAAGUUUUUGAGAUGCUGUCACUGCUCCUGUUAAGAGAGGAUGUGUUACCAGCAACAGAGAGUAAAAUCAGCCUACAUGCUCAAUCCCGAAAGGCUGGAAAAAUUGCCAAGUUAAUACAUUAGACUUUAAAAUAAUACAUUCCUCUUCAAUUCUUCCUUAAAAACAAACAAACAAACACUCAGAGGUUAAUAUUAAAAAUCUGGUUACUUAAACCACGGUCAAACGAGGCUUGUUGCUACUGUGAUUAAAUAAACUUUUCAGUAUUUUGCAAUAUCUUAAGAUAAUUCCAGGUAGUUAUUAUAGAAUCUAGGCUGAAUUUCAUAACGUUUCUCUUUUACAAACGUUGCAUGUAGGGGAGAGGAAGACUGGCUUCAAGGGGAUAGCUGAGGUAUCCUUGUGUGACGUGGUCGCACAUAUUGGCUAAGAACAGCAUAAUCCACACCUACGGACUGCACGGAGCCAAAACACUGAACCUUGCUUCCUUUUACCAAAGUUACCAGCAACAGCAAACUGUGAACAAGACCUUUCAGCCAACUCAAAACAGCAAACAAAAUCCUUCAGUUUGUUGCCUACUUGGUUUGCUCAAAAAGUUGAAUAAAAAUAUCCUGUGCUAUCCUGCCAGUGGCAGAAAUGAAUGAGCAUCCAAAGCUUUCACAGUUAAAGAUGGGAAUUGUGGAUAAUUGUCAAGGCUUUUAUUUAUACACUUGAUGGUUCUCUAACAACUCUUUAGGGUAGACAAACAUAUGGAAAAUGCACUAUGACGGAUCACGGUAUUAACCUAGACACCUGAGAACCCUCUUGCUCACUGGCAUUGAACAGACAGGCAUGGCUCUCACCACCUUGCAGGAUCAUUCCUGCAUUAAAAAAAAAAAAAAACCUACUAUCAGUAUAUUCCAUGAGUUAGUUAUUGAGUUCAUUAGUGAGUUUAAGCUCCCUUCUAUUCUCUUAUUUCUUUCUGGAAGAUUCCUCUCUCAUUUUUAACAUACAUAUAAAAAUUGGAGGCAAGUCUUCCUGUUUUGCAACUAGACUUUUUAAAAACAUUGAAAUAAUCACCUUCUUAGCAGAGUUUCUGCUUCUUAGUGUUUUACAGAAAUCUCUAUUUCAUUAUGGAAAAAAAUCUGUUUACAGGAAAGUCCACAUCAUUCAACUGGCAUUGUCUACAUUCGCAUCAGAGAGAAAAAUAAUACAUUUUUAGGAGUGCUGCAAUCAACCAUUGCAUAAACGUUACUGCAACAAGAAAGGCUUACAGGAGUUCUGCCAAAAGAGGACUGAAGGAUCAGGCCUUGUAAAAUGGAAGAGAAUUGGCAUUAGGGCAUAGCAAAAUUACGGCAGAUAAAGCAGAGAUCAGACCAAAUCAAAGCACCACAGACCUCAGCUCACUCUGGUAAAUGAAUUUAAGUAAACAGGAUGCAAUAGCUGAGUGUUUCUACCUAUAUACACACAUAAGCAUGUGUAUAUAUGUAUAUAAAUAACAUGUUUCUAUAUAGUAUAACAGUAUCUAGGUAAAUGUGUAUAUUCACACAUGUACAAACAUAUUUAUAUAUAUAAAAAAAAUCAAAAUUCUGUGUUUUGCCAGCGAUAAUCAAUGCCAUAAUAAUUAUAAAUUCUAACAGGUAGAGUUCUUGCAAGUCUUUUUCAGAGGAAAAAUCUCUGAAAUAUACAGCACCAGACCCUUCCUUCUAUACCAAGACUGUUUAGUGAGGUAUGAUAGAAAGCUUCAUCUCAAGCAUGCAGACUUCAAGGCAGGAAUAUGUCCAGAUUUUCCAAGUUACAACCAGUGGCUAUAACUCCCCAGAGGUCUGCGCCUCCCAAAUAAUUGUACGUACUAGCAGUUAAAAACUCAGAUUGCUCCUGCCUUUGAACACUGAAAUUGUUCGUUCUUACUGAUCCCACUCAAAUAGAUAGGUGCAUAUUGUCAUAUGACUUGCCAGUGUCGUUAUACCGUAUGACACCUCCUAUUAUUUUUAACAGAGUUUUGCUUAGCAAUUAAGAUUUGCAAUUAAUAAUAAAUUUUGUUGACAUUAAUAUUGAUUUUCGAGGCCGUCACUCAAAUUCAUUAUAUCAUGCAAAAUUGCAGGACAAAAGUUUUUGUGACAUGGUCAAUCUUUUCACAUUCUGUUUUACUUUACAAGCUUCCUGCCUCAAUUUCUCUAAAAAAUGCUCCAAAGUGCUGGAAGAAACAGCACAGGUAACACCGUGAAGAGGAAAUGCACGUGCAGCAUUUGCAUCCAGAACAUGCCAUAGCUCCAUUGCACUGCACUCCAAAGAAAUGGAUACUUGAAGAGCACAAAGCAACAGCUCCUUGAAUUACAUUGUUUUUCAGCUAAAAAUUACUGUACGAACUGCUGAAUGCUUAAGCAAAAUGACUGUAAGUGUUGUAUAUCAUGGAGAAAAAUCUUCCCAUUCCUGAAAAUUUGUUGCAGAUACCCUCCAUAGAUCCUUCAUUCCCCCUCUGCACAAGGGUCACACACAUACAUUGAUGGUUCUAUGUAGUCAGUUGCAUAUGCAAGUGUUGGGGCCUACAGAGCUCAUGAUAAUUAAACAGACCUCCUCGAAAUAUUACAGUAACAAAUAUACAGAUGAGGUGAUCAGCUGACCGCUAUCUAACUACAUUAACCAGCUGCUACAUUAGUCUACAGUAUGCAAUUCUGUACGUUUUUGGCGGAAGGCAACAAGCAAUAAAAAUUUCUAGAAGAGCAGGUAAUUCAAGUCAUAUUAUUCAUAACCACCCCCCAUUUGUAUUUUCAUGAUUUUCUCACUAGUUCCUGUGGAAUCCACGGCAAGAAGCAUUCGGUGAUACAGAGGCUUUUUACCUCGUAUUGCACUGAAAGAAGC